GGGUAGAGCUGCUGCCUCACAGCGCCACAGACCCGGGUUCGAUCCCGACUACGGGCGCUGUCUUUUGCACGUUCUCCCCGUGACCUGCGUGGGUU